UCAUAAUCUAGAAUCACCUUGUCAAAUUUCUCAUGCCAUUGCUUAGGAGCUUGCUUUAAGCCAUAUAAAGAUUUAACCAACUUGCACACCUUGUGUUCUUGGCCCUUAACUAUGAAUCCUUCGGGUUGCUCCAUAUAGAUCUCUUCAUCUAAGUCUCCAUUUAGAAACGCUGUCUUCACAUCCAUUUGAUGAAUCACUAAAUUAUGCACAGAUGCUAAAGCUAUCAAGGUCCUUAUGGUGGUAAUCCUAGAAACAGAAUGGUGCAUCCACAGACAUAACGGCUUCCUUAUAAGUUGUGGGAUCUCCUUCUACUAGAAAGGAACAUGUCGCACAUCCUUGAGAGUUAGAGUCUUCCCAGAUGUCAUCUUCAAUUCCACUUCUC